UACGUAGGGGGCAAGCGUUGUCCGGAAUCAUUGGGCGUAAAGAGCGCGUAGGCGGCCCGAUAAGUCCGCUGUGAAAGUCAAGGGCUCAACCCUUGAAUGCCGGUGGAUACUGUCGGGCUAGAGUCCGGAAGAGGCGAGUGGAAUUCCUGGUGUAGCGGUGAAAUGCGCAGAUAUCAGGAGGAACACCAAUGGCGAAGGCAGCUCGCUGGGACGUGACUGACGCUGAGACGCGAAAGCGUGGGGAGCAAACAGG
rnacentral:rRNA from 1 species